GACGAACGCUGGCGGCGCGCCUAACACAUGCAAGUCGAACGAGCGAGAGAGAGCUUGCUUUCUCGAGCGAGUGGCGAACGGGUGAGUAACGCGUGAGGAACCUGCCUCAAAGAGGGGGACAACAGUUGGAAACGACUGCUAAUACCGCAUAAGCCCACGGGUCGGCAUCGACCAGAGGGAAAAGGAGCAAUCCGCUUUGAGAUGGCCUCGCGUCCGAUUAGCUAGUUGGUGAGGUAAUGGCCCACCAAGGCGACGAUCGGUAGCCGGACUGAGAGGUUGAACGGCCACAUUGGGACUGAGACACGGCCCAGACUCCUACGGGAGGCAGCAGUGGGGAAUAUUGCACAAUGGGGGAAACCCUGAUGCAGCGACGCCGCGUGGAGGAAGAAGGUCUUCGGAUUGUAAACUCCUGUUGUUGGGGAAGAUAAUGACGGUACCCAACAAGGAAGUGACGGCUAACUACG
rnacentral:rRNA from 1 species